UUACUCAGGUAUAUUAUAUAUAUAUAUGAGUCAUGUCAUUGUGGAUCUGCCACUCUGCCAAAAAAAUAAUGUUUAGACUUAAUAACAUAUUGUAUCACAGCACCUCUCCUCUCUAAAGAUCUCAUUUAACAAUAUGAAUACUAUCUUGUCUCUCCAAUAUAUAACUCUGAAAUCAAAAUAAUGAUCUUGUGUUGUUCUUGUCUAUAACUGUCAUGUAUGUAUUAUGUAGACAGACCCCAGGGAAGAGAAGCUGCUGUAUGUGCAGUAUCUAAUGGGGAUCCUAAUAAACUAAAAUGCAGCGUGAACAGCAAGAAAGUGCUCGUGACUGUGGUUGAGCAACUGCUCUCUCCUUGAGUGAUAGGGGGCGGGGCUUGGUGUGGUUAGCAGCGCAUGCAGCAGGAAGGAGAGGGAGAGAGAGGAUUUCAAGUAGCAAACUAUUUUUUAAAAAAAACGGACAUUUAGCAAACCAAAACAUUAAAAUACAGUUAUACAAAAAGCCAAACCGGUCCGUGCUUCAGUACCACCCAUCCCUAGCGGGAACACAAGUCCUUUAUCCUUUAUGAAUGGGUUGACACUGGAAGCCAUUACUGUUUUAUGUAACUAGCUAGAUAACAUUUGUGUCCUUUUCUGCCUUGUUGUUUAAACCAAAAGAUAUGCUAGCUCUUCAACUAACGCCCUUUUAUCUGUUCUUUAGCUGGCUAGGUAUACAACUAACCCCAUGUUAUCUAUACUUUAGCUUCAGCUGGCUAGGUAUACAACUAACCCCAUGUUAUCUAUACUUUAGCUUCAGCUGGCUAGGUAUACAACUAACCCCAUUUUAUCUAUACUUUAGCUUCAGCUGGCUAAGGUAUACAACUAACCCCAUUUUAUCUAUACUUUAGCUUCAGCUGGCUAGGUAUACAACUAACCCCAUGUUAUCUAUACUUUAGCUUCAGCUGGCUAGGUAUACAACUAACCCCAUUUUAUCUAUACUUUAGCUUCAGCUGGCUAGGUAUACAACUAACCCCAUGUUAUCUAUACUUUAGCUUCAGCUGGCUAAGGUAUACAACUAACCCCAUUUUAUCUAUACUUUAGCUUCAGCUGGCUAGGUAUACAACUAACCCCAUGUUAUCUAUGCUUUAGCUUCAGCUGGCUAGGUAUACAUCUAACCCCAUUUUAUCUAUACUUUAGCUGGCUAAGGUAUACAACUAACCCCAUUUUAUCUAUACUUUAGCUUCAGCUGGCUAGGUAUACAACUAACCCCAUUUUAUCUAUACUUUAGCUUCAGCUGGCUAGGUAUACAACUAACCCCAUUUUAUCUAUACUUUAGCUUCAGCUGGCUAGGUAUACAACUAACCCCAUUUUAUCUAUACUUUAGCUUCAGCUGGCUAGGUAUACAACUAACCCCAUUUUAUCUAUACUUUAGCUUCAGCUGGCUAGGUAUACAACUAACCCCAUUUUAUCUAUACUUUAGCUUCAGCUGGCUAGGUAUACAACUAACCCCAUUUUAUCUAUACUUUAGCUGGCUAGGUAUACAACUAACCCCAUUUUAUCUAUACUUUAGCUGGCUAGGUAUACAACUAACCCCAUUUUAUCUAUACUUUAGCUAGCUAGGUAUACAACUAACCCCCUUUUAUCUAUACUUUAGCUAGCUAACUUUCGUUUACUACCUGAGAAGCUAAUGUGUGUUUAAUCUGUGCUGACAGCUUGAAUUUAAAACAAAAAUUCACCAGCAGGUGCCUGGGGCCUCAUUUAUAACCGUCACACUAAAGUCCGGCAUGCACUAUUUCUGAAAAUUCUGUGCACAUACAAAAAUACUGACAUUUAUAAACUUGGUGCACACCAUACAUACACAUUUUCCCGUUAUAAAUUAGACUGCAAGUAAAACUGAAUGCGAAUGAACGGUCAUUAAAACUCCAUCUGCAAAAUGACCUCCAUACACUUUUUUAUGGUGACAAUAACCCCCUUUGUUUUGCUGAAUAACGUGACUAUUGGCAUUAGGCUACGACAGUCUCUAAAAGAAAGAGUAAAGACAACUUAUCACAUUGCCGUUAGAGAUGUGGGCAGAAAAUGUGGAUAUUUUGCAGUGAUCUUUCCCCCCCCAAACUUAAACAAAUAGUCUGCUCAUUCUGAACAUUUGAGCGUAUAUUCAGAACUAUUUAAAAAGUAGGGUAAUUUGUACAGCCUACACUUCUAUGCAAAAUACAAAUUGUUGUUUAAUAUUCUUCUCCUCAACAGAUUGUGUUCUGAUAUGCUGCUUUGCUAUAGGCUCAGAGAUUAAAUAGGCACGGAUGUCACAGCAAUACUGUAGACUACCCAUAUACUGUCAUAUUUGACAUAAGCUACGGGUCCAUUUAUUGUAAACAUUUUGCCACGCGUCUUUUGCAGUAAUUUAUGAUGUAUCUGGUAAAGGACUGUCAGUUUCUGAAAGAGAGAGAACCAUGACAAAAUGGUUGUGGACCUGUCAGCAAUAAGUUUGAAUUCAAACAUUUUUAUAUAAUGGACUGCCCACCAAUUCUGAAAUAAUGUCUAGGGCAGGCUACCAAAAUAUAAUCAACACAGUCGCAUACAUAGUAGAGCUGGGAAUGACCAGGGACCUCACCACACUGAGGGGCCUCGCCAUAUCGUCACCAUAGAGGGAUCUCACCAUACCAUAUUAUCA